rnacentral:lncRNA from 1 species
ACCAGCCACUGCUCAGGACAGGAUGCUGAAAGUGAUGCUGGGCGGCCAGCCAGACUCUGGAUCCCUAGGGCUCUGCCAGAGGUAGUGGAGGUCAAGGUCUGCCUCAUCUGAGACCCUUCUCACCGGCCGGGAAUGACCCCGUACCUACUCUCUGGCCUCCUCUGGGGGCCUUGCUCUUGGCGCUGGAUCCCUGUGCUCUGUCCCCUGACCUUGGAGGAAUUGCCCUCCUGCGUGUAUGGAAUGACCACAGGCCUCCCUCUCACUCUUGCUGCCCUCCGCUCCUCAC